CGGCUUCUCUCCUUCUUUUCUUUGGGUCCCUAAACCUAUAUAAUUUUUUUUCUAUUUUUUUUCUCACUUUCUACUCAAUUUUUCUUCUCCCAAAGCUUAUUCCCGGACCCCCUAUUUAUAGAUAAAAUUUUCAUAACUUUUUGGUAGGAAAAGGAGUCCUAAAACCCUUAGAAAUCAUAUUAAUCUCAUUAAGAAUAUUCCUGACCGUCGGAUGGAGCUUGAACCACCCAGAUCUGAUCAAAAUCCAUAGUUUUAAUCCCUCUCUC
rnacentral:lncRNA from 1 species